rnacentral:rRNA from 1 species
UAACCUAGCGACUGCUCAGUACCGUGAUACCUGCCUAGGUGAGAAUACCCCGGGAAACUGGGGAUAUACUCCUAGACUAAGCUACUGAAUGUUCUUUAGUCAAAGUUGAGGCGCCUUAGGAUGGAUCUGCGGUCGAUUAGGUUGUUGUUGGGGUAACGGCCCAACAAGCCUGUAAUCGAUACGGGUUGUGGGAGCAAGAGCCCGGAGAUGGAAUCUGAGACACGAUUCCAGGCCCUACGGGGCGCAGCAGGCGCGAAAACUUUACAAUGCAGGAAACUGUGAUAAGGGAACCCCGAGUGCCCGUAUACGCGGGCUGUCCAGGUGUUUAAAAUGCAUCUGAAGAAAGGGCCGGGCAAGACCGGUGCCAGCCGCCGCGGUAAUACCGGCGGCUCGAGUGGUGGCCACUAUUAUUGGGCUUAAAGCGUCCGUAGCUGGACCCUUAAGUCUCUUGGGAAAUCCGCCGGCUUACCGGCGGGCAUCCAGGAGAUACUGAGUGUCUAGGGACCGGGAGAGGUGAGAGGUACUCCGGGGGUAGGAGUGAAUCCUGUAAUCCCCGGGGGACCACCGAUGGCGAAGGCAUCUCACCAGAACGGCUCCGACAGUGAGGGACGAAAGCUGGGGGAGCGAACCGGAUUACAUACCCGGGUAGUCCCAGCCGUAAACUAUGCGCGUUAGGUGUACUGGUGACCAUGAGUCACUGGGGUGCCGAAGGGAAACCGUGAAACGUGCCGCCUGGGAAGUACGGUCGCAAGGCUGAACUUAAGGAAUUGGGGGGGAGCACCACAACGGGUGGAGCCUGCGGUUAAUUGGACUCAACGCCGGAAAUCUCACAAGGAUAAGACACGCGNAAUGAUAACCGGGCUGAAGACUCUGUUUGACCAGCGAGAGGAGGUGCAUGGCCGUCGUCAGUUCGNACUGUGAAGCAUCCUGUUAAGCCAGGCAACGACGAGACCACGCCACNAGUUGCUAGCUUGUUCUC